ensembl:lncRNA
GUAGUGUAGGGUGGUCAGUUGUCAUAGUGUCUGGUAGUGUAGUGUAGGGUGGUCAGUUGUCAUAGUGUCUGGUAGUGUAGUGUAGGGUGGUCAGUUGUCAUAGUGUCUGGUAGUGUAGGGUGGUCAGUUGUCAUAGUGUCUGGUAGUGUAGGGUGAUCAGUUGUCAUAGUGUCUGGUAGUGUAGGGUGGUCAGUUGUCAUAGUGUCUGGUAGUGUAGGGUGGUCAGUUGUCAUAGUGUCUGGUAGUGUAGUGUAGGAUGGUCAGUUGUCAUUGUGUCUGGUAGUGUAGGGUGGUCAGUUGUCAUAGUGUCUGGUAGUGUAGGGUGGUCAGUUGUCAUAGUGUCUGGUAGUGUAGUGUAGGGUGGUCAGUUGUCAUAGUGUCUGGUAGUGUAGGGUGGUCAGUUGUCAUAGUGUCUGGUAGUGUAGGGUGGUCAGUUUGUAGGGUGGUCAUAGUGUAGGGUGGUCAGUUGUCAUAGUGUCUGGUAGUGUAGGGUUGUCAUAGUGUCUGGUAGUGUAGGGUGGUCAGUUGUCAUAGUGUCUGGUAGUGUAGGGUGGACAGUUGUCAUAGUGUCUGGUAGUGUAGGGUGGUCAGUUGUCAUAGUGUCUGG